CAGUAGCCGCGGUAAUACGAAGGGGGCAAGCGUUGUUCGGAAUUAUUGGGCGUAAAGGGUGCGUAGGCGGUUUGGCAAGUCUUAUGUGAAAUCUUCGGGCUCAACCCGAAGCCUGCACGAGAAACUGCCGGGCUUGAGUAUUGGAGAGGUGAGUGGAAUUUCCGGUGUAGCGGUGAAAUGCGUAGAUAUCGGAAGGAACACCUGUGGCGAAAGCGGCUCACUGGACAAUUACUGACGCUGAGGCACGAAAGCUAGGGGAGCAAACAGGAUUAGAUACCCCAGUAGUCCCUGUCUCUUAUAA
rnacentral:rRNA from 1 species